AUUGAACGCUGGCGGCACGCCUUACACAUGCAAGUCGAACGGUAACAGGUCUUCGGAUGCUGACGAGUGGCGAACGGGUGAGUAAUACAUCGGAACGUGCCCGAUCGUGGGGGAUAACGAGGCGAAAGCUUUGCUAAUACCGCAUACGAUCUACGGAUGAAAGCGGGGGAUCUUCGGACCUCGCGCGGACGGAGCGGCCGAUGGCAGAUUAGGUAGUUGGUGGGAUAAAAGCUUACCAAGCCGACGAUCUGUAGCUGGUCUGAGAGGAUGAUCAGCCACACUGGGACUGAGACACGGCCCAGACUCCUACGGGAGGCAGCAGUGGGGAAUUUUGGACAAUGGGCGAAAGCCUGAUCCAGCCAUGCCGCGUGCAGGAUGAAGGCCUUUGGGUUGUAAACUGCUUUUGUACGGAACGAAAAGCCUCUUUCUAAUAAAGAGGGGUCAUGACGGUACCGUAAGAAUAAGCACCGGCUAACUACGUG
rnacentral:rRNA from 1 species